GGCGGCGCGCUGCCGGCCGCCGCGCCAGCUGCCCCGCCGGCUCAGUAUCGCGCGCGAGCCCGCCGCCGCCGCCGCACCGCCCGCGCCGAGCCCGCGUCGCCAUGGAGCACUUCAUCGAGACGGUGCGCAAGUACCCGUGCCUGUGGAACACCACCGCCAUCGAGUACCGCGACCAGGAGCUGAAGGACGCCGCCUGGGCCGAGGUCAUGAAGGAGACGGACCUGUCGUCAGUGAAAGAAGUGAAGUUGAAGUGGAAAAAGCUGCGAGAUAGCUACCGUGACGCGCUCAAGCGGCAGAGCGAGAUGCUGGCGAAGGACCCUGCCAACCCCGCCAAGAAGAAUUACCCCUGGAAGUACAUGGGGCUGAUGCAGUUCCUGCAGCCGUACAUGAGCAACAGAAAGAAGCCGGCGGGCUCGCCCAGCUACCCCGCGCCCGCCGCGGCGCAGGAGAACGGGCACCACGAGCAGUCCAGCUCGGAGUCGGAGUCGGAGGCGGAGUCGGCCGCCAAGCGCAAGAGCUCGCAGCUGACCGUCAUCGACCGCAAGCUGGACUACCUGUGCAAGGCGCACGCCGCCAAGCGCGCGUGCCCCGAGCCCGCGCCCGCCGCGCACCCCGACCCGCUCGACAUCUUCUUCAACAGCAUGUGUCAGUCCACCAAGCGCUUCCCCUUCCCCACGCAGAUCAAGAUAAAGAGGAGCCUGUUCAACGCCGUGAUCGAGGCGGAGGAGGCGCUGCUGGCGGAGCAGGCGAGCUACGCCAGCCUGUGGGCGCAGGAGCCGGGCUCGUCCUCCAGCAGCGAGCCCAGCGACGACGAGCGCAAGCCCUCCUGAGCAGGCGCUGCCUCAUCGCACACACGGACUCUCUUAAGAUAUCCUCUUCAGGUGCUACUUUGUAGUUAACAACUAAAUUACGCCAAAUACCUACCAAGUGAUCCGCUAACUAUCUUGACAUCUGGGAUGUUAUUUUGAAUUUAGAAAGGUAUCUUUUACUCCAUUGCUGAGAAAAACUUUUGUUUUUGCAUUUGAUGUAAUAUCACAAAGUACUAAAUACUUAAGUAUGAUGUUACUACCUACGUAAAUAAUAAGCCGAUAUUAAUAGGUAGGGGUAGUUUUCGUCAAACUUCUUGUCGUCAUGGAAAAUUGCACGAGUCGAAAAAAAAGUACUUCUGAGAAAAGUAAAUGGCCCCGUGUGAAGCUGGGCGGGCAGCUCGUUGUAUAGCGCUGUUAGAGCUAGCUGUUUGAUUGUGGCUAUGUCAACCAGUUAACAUAUGUAUUUAAUAGCAUUGACUGCCUGUUAUUGUGAUUAUCGCAAUCUCCGCAACUGGUAGUAGAUCUAUAUCUAUUUUGAGGUACAGAACACCAGUCGUAUGUAAACUUAGUAGGUAAAGGAGUAACUUUAAUUAAGGAAACUGACUGAAAUUAUUAUUCUUAUACAGUAAUUAUGUAAGGAUGCGUAGUUUUGUAUUACAUAGUUGCUAGUAUGUUAAAACCUAUUUUAUGUGUGUAACUAUGAUAAGUAAAAUAGAACCUAAAAGUAAGUAGGGACUAAAACAAUGUUUUUUUUAAAUAAACGAAUGGAUCCAUAAAAGACAGAAUAUGCAUUUCAGAAA
rnacentral:misc_RNA from 1 species